GACGAACGCUGGCGGCGUGCUUAACACAUGCAAGUCGAACGGAAAGGCCCUGCUUGCAGGGUACUCGAGUGGCGAACGGGUGAGUAACACGUGGGUGAUCUGCCCUGCACUUCGGGAUAAGCCUGGGAAACUGGGUCUAAUACCGGAUAGGAGCCAUCUUUAGUGUGAUGGUUGGAAAGAUUUUUCGGUGUAGGGUGAGCUCGCGGCCUAUCAGCUUGUUGGUGGGGUAAUGGCCUACCAAGGCGGCGGCGGGUAGCCGGCCUGGGAGGGUGGACGGCCACCUUGGGGCUGGGGUAAGGCCCCGGCGCCUACCGGGGGCAGGAGGGGGGAAUAUUGCACAAUGGGCGCAAGCCUGGUGCAGCGACGCCGCGUGGGGGGUGACGGCCUUCGGGUUGUAAACCCCUUUCGCUAGGGACGGAGCUUUUUGUGACGGUACCUAGAGAAGAAGCACCGGCUAACUACGUG
rnacentral:rRNA from 1 species